AUUGAACGCUGGCGGCAUGCUUUACACAUGCAAGUCGAACGGUAACAGGCCGCAAGGUGCUGACGAGUGGCGAACGGGUGAGUAAUGCAUCGGAACGUGCCCAGUCGUGGGGGAUAACGCAGCGAAAGCUGUGCUAAUACCGCAUACGAUCUGUGGAUGAAAGCGGGGGACCGAAAGGCCUCGCGCGAUUGGAGCGGCCGGUGUCAGAUUAGGUAGUUGGUAGGGUAAAGGCUCACCAAGCCAACGAUCUGUAGCUGGUCUGAGAGGACGACCAGCCACACUGGGACUGAGACACGUCCCAGACUCCUACGGGAGGCAGCAGUGGGGAAUUUUGGACAAUGGGCGCAAGCCUGAUCCAGCAAUGCCGCGUGCAGGAAGAAGGCCUUCGGGUUGUAAACUGCUUUUGUACGGAGCGAAAAGGCUCUCUCUAAUACAGGGGGCUCAUGACGGUACCGUAAGAAUAAGCACCGGCUAACUACGUGCCAGCCGCCGCCGUAAAAC
rnacentral:rRNA from 1 species